rnacentral:rRNA from 1 species
AGAGAGGCUUGCUUCUCUUGAGAGCGGCGGACGGGUGAGUAAUGCCUAGGAAUCUGCCUGGUAGUGGGGGAUAACGCUCGGAAACGGACGCUAAUACCGCAUACGUCCUACGGGAGAAAGCAGGGGACCUUCGGGCCUUGCGCUAUCAGAUGAGCCUAGGUCGGAUUAGCUAGUUGGUGAGGUAAUGGCUCACCAAGGCGACGAUCCGUAACUGGUCUGAGAGGAUGAUCAGUCACACUGGAACUGAGACACGGUCCAGACUCCUACGGGAGGCAGCAGUGGGGAAUAUUGGACAAUGGGCGAAAGCCUGAUCCAGCCAUGCCGCGUGUGUGAAGAAGGUCUUCGGAUUGUAAAGCACUUUAAGUUGGGAGGAAGGACAGUAAAUUAAUACUUUGCUGUUUUGACGUUACCGACAGAAUAAGCACCGGCUAACUCUGUGCCAGCAGCCGCGGUAAUACAGAGGGUGCAAGCGUUAAUCGGAAUUACUGGGCGUAAAGCGCGCGUAGGUGGUUUGUUAAGUUGGAUGUGAAAUCCCCGGGCUCAACCUGGGAACUGCAUUCAAAACUGACAAGCUAGAGUAUGGUAGAGGGUGGUGGGAUUUCCUGUGUAGCGGUGAAAUGCGUAGAUAUAGGAAGGAACACCAGUGGCGAAGGCGACCACCUGGACUGAUACUGACACUGAGGUGCGAAAGCGUGGGGAGCAAACAGGAUUAGGUACCCUGGUAGUCCACGCCGUAAACGAUGUCAACUAGCCGUUGGGAGCCUUGAGCUCUUAGUGGCGCAGCUAACGCAUUAAGUUGACCGCCUGGGGAGUACGGGCGCAAGGUUAAAACUCAAAUGAAUUGACGGGGGCCCGCACAAGCGGUGGAGCAUGUGGUUUAAUUCGAAGCAACGCGAAGAACCUUACCAGGGCUUGACAUCCA